GUGUGUGUGCGUGCGUGUCUGUGUAUAUACGCACGUACGUACACGUACACACACACAUACACACACACACACACCC
rnacentral:miRNA from 1 species